rnacentral:tRNA from 1 species
GUUUCCGUAGUUAAAGUAUUAUAACAACGGCUUUUCAGGCCGUUGAUCUCGGAGAGAGGCCGAGCGGGAAUU